rnacentral:tRNA from 1 species
GCCUGGGUGGCUCAGUCAGUUAAGUGUCCGACUUCGGCUCAGGUCAUGAUCUCAUGGUUCGUGGGUUCAAACCCUGCCUCGGGCU